GCUAGGCCUGGCUGGACCGACAAAUCGUUUUUCUCCUCCUCUUCGCCGUCGGAUCAGCUGUUGUCAGGCGCUGUUCCGUUGUUUACAGCUCGGUGCAAAAGCUGACUUUGCCCAAUGCACGCGCCACGGACCGAUAGGCCAGCUCAGAAAUUGGUUUUCUAAUCUCCGUGGGAGAUUGAAACUGUCUCCCCGGUCUCGCUUGCGCCUGUCGUGCGAGCGAGAAACCCUCUUGGACGGCGCUAAAUUGGGGCGGUCCGCCUGUGGGGCACCGACGAGCCGUGCCAUUGUCAUCCCCGGGAUUGCUGGCUCCAGAGAGCGGCUUCGCCGGUCGUAAACGGUAAUCCCUCCGCGAACGUGCAGCACAAGCAUUGGAGAUGGAAGAUGGAAGCCCGCGACGAACCGUGGGCUCCGACAUAUGCCUCGCACAGCGGCAAAGGAAAUCUGAAGAAGCGCCGAAAACGGUUUCGUGUGGCAAGGUGGUGAGGAAGCAUCUCAUAGUCUUCGACUUUGACCACACAAUCAUUGAUGCCAACAGUGAUGUGUACAUCCAGAAGCUGGCGCCGAAUGGAGAGCUACCUCCAGAAAUCAAGGAACGCUACACCCCAAAUGGGUGGACUCCAUUCAUGCGUGCUGUGUUCCACUUCCUGUAUGACAGUCAUGUGCAGCCUGAUGAUAUUUUAGACUGCCUACUAGAGAUCAAGUUUAUGGAUGGCAUCAUUGAUCUGCUUAAGCAACUGCACAAGGCUGGUGGAUUCGAGGUGAUCAUUAUAUCCGACUCGAACUCUGUCUUCAUCGAGCACAUCAUGCAGGCCUCUGGAGUACGGCCCCUGGUGCAUGAAAUAUUCACCAACUACGCACAUUUUGAUGCCAACGGCUGUCUGCAAAUCAGCGAAUACCACAUGCAGAACUGGUGCAAACUGAGUUCGGUGAACCUCUGCAAGGGCUCGGUCAUGGAGGAAUACCUGGACCGAAGGCGAAAGCAGGGCGUGAACUUCGACACGGUCUCGUACGUCGGCGACGGCAACAACGACCUCUGCCCGUGCCUGCGGCUACGGUCCUGUGACCUCAUUUUUCCUCGUGCCGACUACCCGCUUGCCAAGCAACUUGCCAAGGACCCUGAACAGGCCAAGGCCAAGCUGCACCCCUGGAGGACAGGAUUGGACAUCGCGAAUGUUCUUCUCAAAAACUGUGUCGUCAACAACGUGACUGAGUAGUGUGAAGCGGCAAGGAAGCACCAUUGCGCCGUCCUCUUCUUCCCCUAUGCACUCGCUCGUGCAUGUGCUUUGAAACAUUGUUCCUUUUCUGUCAGCUGUCAUUCAUGUUCCCAGAUUCUUACUGUGCCCAUGUGGCAUCGCUGCUUUGGCCAAGCAGUAUUAGAAAUAUUAGCCACUGUAAAGGAAGUACCAAAGAUGACUUCCUUUGUGCUAGUAAUGCCAACGCAUGUUACGUGCAGCACAGGCCAUCAGAAAAUCGGAAGCUUCAUUCACAUUGCAGUGAACAGAGGUAGGCACACUUGUGGGCUUCAACUACAUUUUAGCUCAUGCAAAAAAGUCUCGAUUAGAAAGACAUUUUCACAGUUUUUGCAUUAAAAGAAAACUUAAACGUUAAGUGUCUACCAGUGUAUGCAUCAGCUAGAUUACUCUAGCAAUUUGUUUGCAAGAAUGUUCAUUGAUAUUGCAUUGUCCUAAAAAUUUUUCACGGUUUCACUACUUAUGCCACUAGUGUUGGGACUGGCAAAUUGUUUUGCCAGCUGUACUUGAGGGAAAGAGCAGCACAUUGCAUGCAUCAAAAUGUUUGUGCAUUAAAGUACUAUGCGAUGCGUAAUGUUGAGAAAAGCCACCUGGUGAUGCUAUCGAAGAGUCUGUGAGUAAGUGUUAUUUUAAUGCAAAACCAGAUAGCAGUCCGAUUUUUUUACUCUUGUGCAGCCAUGUCCAUUUAUGUGAAUGAGUCGGUAACUCCAUUAGAGGCAAGGCAGUAACAUAGUGAUAUAACUUCAGCAAAAGCAUUGUCUACUGCAUUACUGCCCUGGUGUUCAUUGCAGUGCAUAAUGGUUACCUUGAUUUUGUGAUGUUUGUUGCGUGCUGUAUCUAACAUGUUCCAUGGCUAUACCAGUCUGCACAAAUUAGAGCCUAUGCAAGGGUUCAGAGUUAUGCUUGACUGUUAAGUCUUAUUUGUCACUGUGCCUCUGGCAAAUAGUUUGAGCAUCUGUGCAGUGGCACAGUUUCUCUCCUCAAGAUAAAAGCACAGAAGGUGCGGGUAAUUAGUGUUUUGAACAAGUGCAUUUUGCCUCUAGAAGGUCCUUGUUGGGAAUGCUGUCUCCAGUUUUAGGGGAACAAACACUCUUGUGGCGAAUUCCUCUGGUCGUUUGAGAGAAGCUGCCAAAGUACUUUUGCAUGCGCUGCAAUCACACUUUGAUUUUGCGAGUUGAGAUCUGCCAUUGGAGCCCCGCACGGGGUCUCAGUGGAAGUCGUCACAUGCAGCACAGCAGAAGCGAUCGUGGGUCUUGCAAUAUCAUCCCUACAGUGGCACAAGAGAGAGCAAUAUACCGAAAGCUAGACGGGUUCGGGGGGAUAAGAUGAGAGAUGUUCAAAGUAGUAGAUGAGCUUUGAAUCAACAAAUGGAAAGAAUAUUCUCUUCCGCGGACCGAUAAAGGUGCCCCAGAUCAACCGGUGGAAUUCAACAUCUUCGGUGAUGUGCACAAGAAAGCGGAGCACUUACUUGAAGUUCCAUCUGGGCUUGAAAUGUUGGUAGACCUUAAUUUUUUUUUUCUGCUCAAAUCUUGACUGAAGGCUCAGUGCACAUCUGAGCAUUUCAUGCAAAGAAUACUACUCAAGGGAGAGAGCCCUGAGAACAGUUGGCGCUCGCGCUGUGUUUUUGGUGGUCUUUUCCUGCUCGGUACCUGUGGUUUAGAUGACACUUUGAAUGCAAGUGCUUGUGUGUGUGAGUAUGUGAGAAUCGCAGACUGCUCUACGACCGGUGGUGAAGAGGAAAUGCCAUACGGGCAUUUAUUUGCCAACACGUUUUUUUUUCUUGCUUUUUAAAAACAAAUGUUUGCACGUUUAUCUCUCAGAUCUGGGACAAUCCCCGUGACUCGUCAAGUAGCCCUGCCACCCUCAUUUUAGGAACGCCGCGUUAACAAAAUGGCUAAAUCUUUCAACUGUAUCACGUAUGUCUUGAACUCGUUCUGUUUGUGAGAAGCAAAAUUAAAAGGGGAAGGGAGGAUUUUUAGUAGAGCUUGAACAAAAUGGCCUUUUACAAGUUUGCUUCCAAAGAUGUACACUUUUUUUUUUCCUAACCUAUGCACACUUGUGAAAAUGCAGCUCAUAUGUCAGCGUUUUUGCGAUGUUGAAGGCAUGUGUUGAGUAUAUAUAUGUAAGAAGCGCACAUUUUGGUAUGGUGCACAUCUGUGCAGCUGGUUACCAAGUGUGUGGCAUGUUUGGUUUAAUCUGCAUGUGGCUUGUAGCUUGGCUGCGACAACUUGCUGCAGCAAGCUGCAUGAAAAGGCAAGGCAGGAGGCAUUGAACACAUCUUUUCCUAAUGCCUAUUCAUUCCUGUCAAAUUCCUGCCAGGAAAGCUAGCUGCUCUUGUCAUGUCGCUGCCGAGUGCAUAGGAAUGGAAAUCGUUUGUAGGCUUGAUUGUGCAUUGGUUAAGCAAAAAUGUACGCCAAAGACGAGCUUGUUGAUGAUCUCUUUUAGUUUAGCCUGAACAAUCUACCUUCUUCUGCAUGAGUUACCAUAGUUGUGAGUUUAUGGUUGGCAAAACCAAUGCAAGUUUGUCAGAGGAGCUUGUCACGGCAGGGUUGGCAUAUAGUAUUGCUUAGGCUUGUCUUUCGAGCAGCUAUCUUUUUAUACAAGUUUUAGAAGCUAAUAAAAUUGAGUUGGUGAUGUUAACACUUAUUGUACGUGCAUAUUGCUUGACAUAUGCACCCUGCCUAUUCAUGUCUGUUCAGAAUGGAAGUGAGAAAAUAAAAACAUUCCUUUACAA